CCGCUUUAAGCCCCGCCCGCUGGCCCCGGAGCGGACCUUUCUCCUGCUCGCGGCCGUCCUUUCCCACGCGGCCUCCGCCGGGGCCGGAACGCCGAAGCCGAGCUCCGGACACGUGCGGAGGGGCCAGCUGUGUACUUUGGACAGAUGCAGCCCCAGGAUGAAUUGAAAGGAGGGCAUCCUUGGCCCUCCUGAAGAGAGGAAAUUAGUGGCAAGUGGCCGUCUGUAUAUGGAGUUUUCAGAUGCCUUCACCUGAGUGACGAACUUGCUCCAUCAGGACCUCAGAUGUCUGACAGCCCCGUGUGACAUCAGGAUAAGUAACGUGUAUUUUUUUGUCAUGGUUGACAGAAACUGCUGUCAAUAGACUUUUGCAUUGAAGUUUUGGAUCAUGUCUCAAAUUUUAAUGAGGAGAACAAAACCAGAGGAAUAAAUUCUACUGGCCCCAAAGGGACACAAAAAGGUGGAUCAGUGCCUAGGAGUUCACACAAAACAACGUGAGUCAACUACUCAUCCAAGGAGCACUGGUUCCUUUAUUGGAGAAUGGUACCAGAACCAAGGUCUGGACACUAGAUGUGCUUUUGAUACUGAGGUGUUUUGUUGUGGCUUCAAGGCCCUAUCCGCUAACAGAACAAUGAAAUACGAUAUUCAUGUAAAUAUACUGUUGGGCAUGUGGCACCAUAGGACAUUGACAAAAUCUACUGCAUGUUAACCAGUGUGCCAGAACUGAAUUCAUUCUACGUAUCUCAGUCCUUUCAACAGCUCUACAAGCCAGGCCCACCUUGAGGCCAGACUCCUUGUCCAGUCUCCUUCAUCAGACCAGGAUCUUCAAGAGCUGGCGAUUUGUCUUACCCAUCAUUGUAUCCCCAUGCUUGUACAAUGUCUUUCAUGAAACAGGCAUUUGAUGACUGAAAUCUUACAUUAACAUUGGUUUCCAAUGUGCCUUUUUGCUAAUGAGCCACUAAGUUGAUCCUCAAUAAAUAAUUACUCAAUUGAAAAA